GCUGGGUGUGGUGGUGCAUGCCUGUAAUCCCAGCGGCUCAGGAGGCUGAGGCAGGAGGAUGGUGAGUGUGGAUGAAUGAAGUCACCUUUCUUUCCACAGCAGCCAAGAUGCUAUAUGUUCUAGACUCUGCCUGCCUCCU
rnacentral:sRNA from 1 species